GGAAUUGUGGCUCAGUGGUAGAGUGCUCGUCUAGCACGUGAGAAGCCCUGGGUUCGAUCCUCAGCACCA
rnacentral:tRNA from 1 species